UACGGGGGGGGCAAGCGUUGUCCGGAUUUACUGGGCGUAAAGAGCGCGCAGGCGGUCGUUCAAGUCGCGUGUGAAAGCCCCCGGCUCAACUGGGGAGGGUCACGCGAUACUGAUCGACUCGAAGGCAGGAGAGGGUAGUAGAAUUCCUGGUGUAGCGGUGAAAUGCGCAGAUAUCAGGAGGAACACCGGUGGCGAAGGCGGGUCUCUGGGUAGUAACUGACGCUGAGGAACGAAAGCGUGGGUAGCGAACAGG
rnacentral:rRNA from 1 species